rnacentral:rRNA from 1 species
UGGAGGCAGCAGUAAGGAAUCUUGCACAAUGGGGGAAGCCCUGAUGCAGCGACGCCGCGUGAGCGAUGAAGCCCUUCGGGGUGUUAAGCUCUUUCGGCGGGAACGAAUAAUGACGGUACCCGCAGAAGAAGCUGCGGCUAACUACGUGCCAGCAGCCGCGGUAAUACGUAGGCAGCAAGCGUUGUUCGGAGUUACUGGGCGUAAAGAGUAUGUAGGCGGUUCUGCAAGUCUGGUGUGAAAUCUCCCGGCUCAACUGGGAGGGUGCGCCGGAAACUGCAGUGCUCGAGUGUGGGAGAGGAAAGCGGAAUUCCUGCUGUAGCGGUGAAAUGCGUAGAUAUCAGGAGGAACACCGGCGGUGUAGACGGCUUUCUGGACCACUACUGACGCUGAGAUACGAAAGCGUGGGGAGCAAACAGGAUUAGAUACCCGAGUAGUCUC